AUUGAACGCUGGCGGAAUGCUUUACACAUGCAAGUCGAACGGCAGCACGGGAGCUUGCUCCUGGUGGCGAGUGGCGAACGGGUGAGUAACAUAUCGGAACGUACCCAGUCGUGGGGGAUAACUAUCCGAAAGGAUAGCUAAUACCGCAUACGUCCUGAGGGAGAAAGCGGGGGAUCGCAAGACCUCGCGCGCUUGGAGCGGCCGAUAUCGGAUUAGCUAGUUGGUGGGGUAAAGGCUCACCAAGGCGACGAUCCGUAGCGGGUCUGAGAGGACGACCCGCCACACUGGAACUGAGACACGGUCCAGACUCCUACGGGAGGCAGCAGUGGGGAAUUUUGGACAAUGGGGGCAACCCUGAUCCAGCCAUUCCGCGUGAGUGAAGAAGGCCUUCGGGUUGUAAAGCUCUUUCAGCAGGAACGAAACGGUCGGCUUUAAUAAAAUCGGCUAAUGACGGUACCUGCAGAAGAAGCACCGGCUAACUACGUG
rnacentral:rRNA from 1 species